GCUUACGGCCACACUGCCCGGUUCACGCCUGAUCUCGGAAGCUAAGAUAGGUUGGGCCUGGUUAGUACUUGGAUGGGAGACCGCCUAGGAAUACCAGGUGCUGUAAGCC
rnacentral:rRNA from 1 species